AGACAUCUUUACAAAGCCUUUAGAGAAAGAGUCCCUCUUCCGAAUUCGCAGUGAACUCGGAAUCCUUGACUCCACGUUGAUCUAAGUCAUGCAGUGCAUUUUUUUUCUUGAUUUCUAACUUGAGCGUCGGAGACGUCUAAUUCUUUUUUGCAGGUAUCGCCCUAAAAGUACGGGGAAUUAUAAAGCAUGACGCGCAAGAAUCGAGUCUUCUUCAGAAAAAUCUGUUUCCCUCAUCUAUUAAUCGAUUAUCUCGUAUCAAUAACUGAUUGUAAUGCUAUCAUUUGAGCUAUUAUACUCUCUUUAAAUAAUCACACCUUCUUUCCAAUAAAUAAACAAGGUUUAUUUCAUCUUUGGCACCUUAUUAUUAUUUUUGCUAAUGGAAAAAGAGGGAAGAUAACGGGUAUGAUGCACUCUCAAGUUAUAAGAUUAAAUUGAGGGGGAAUUCUCAAAUUGAGGGGGAACAAAUUGCAUACUUGUUGCAUGUAUAUACUUGUCUUGAAUCGUCAAUAUAAACUGCUUGUCUUGCAUAUCCCGCUUAAUGUUUGCCAUUAUCGAAAAGGGGGAAAUUGUUGGAAACACGUUCUCAAUGCAAUAUACUAAAACGUGUGUUCUUUUGUAUAGGUUUUGAUGAAUGACN
rnacentral:lncRNA from 1 species